UGGGGAAUCUUGCGCAAUGCGCGAAAGCGUGACGCAGCAACGCCGCGUGGGGGAAGAAGGCCUUCGGGUUGUAAACCCCUUUCAGUUGGGACGAAGCUUCGUCGGUGAAUAGCCGGCCGGAGUGACGGUACCUUCAGAAGAAGCCCCGGCUAACUACGUGCCAGCAGCCACGGUAAUACGUAGGGGGCAAGCGUUGUCCGGAAUCAUUGGGCGUAAAGAGCGUGUAGGCGGCUCGGUAAGUCCGCUGUGAAAGUCCAGGGCUCAACCCUGGAAUGCCGGUGGAAACUGUCGAGCUCGAGUCCGGAAGAGGCGAGUGGAAUUCCUGGUGUAGCGGUGAAAUGCGCAGAUAUCAGGAGGAACACCAAUGGCGAAGGCAGCUCGCUGGGACGGUACUGACGCUGAGACGCGAAAGCGUGGGGAGCAAAC
rnacentral:rRNA from 1 species